GCGGCCCGUGACCGAGGUUUGGGGCGUCGACUGAACUCCUCUCAGACCAAUCGGAGUUUACGGGAAACUUUGUAAACAACUCUUACACGCCGAUUUAAAGCUCGACUGUUGUGUUUACUACGAAAAAGAUACCACGGUGCUGCAGCCGAGUGAUUCAAAAGUGCUAAAACAGAGAGCCAUCCAGAUGUUGAAAUACAACGCUAAUCAGAAAGUAUUUAUGGUGACAAGAGGAAAAAUGUACAGAAAAACAAAGAGAAGCAACACCAAACAGCCGGUUGGGGCAGACCUCUUGGUUAGGCUCUUUCUGGACACACCUGAGUGACAUCAUAAACACAGCUGAUAUGACCAGGAGAGAUCUAAGCCCAGCUAUGGGCAGUAUUUAAUGUAAGUCAAAUCACUUUAUCUUUUAUAACUGUGGUUACCGGUUACUUGUGCGUUAAGACCAGCUGUGUGUAGAUUCAUG
rnacentral:lncRNA from 1 species